GUUGAAGAACUCCAAAGGGAUCGCAUUGAUCCGAUUAAUUGUUAAUUAAUUAGCAGCUACAAUUCUAAUGGGUUUUUAUUGGAUCAUGCGAUCUCUUUGGAACUCUUCUU
rfam:Macleaya cordata isolate BLH2017 scaffold1787, whole genome shotgun sequence.